rnacentral:sRNA from 1 species
AACUCGUGUACCCCAACGGUUAUUGGU